GAUGAACGCUGGCGGCGUGCUUAACACAUGCAAGUCGAACGAUGAAGCCCAGCUUGCUGGGUGUAUUAGUGGCGAACGGGUGAGUAACACGUGAGUAACCUGCCCUUAACUCUGUGAUAAGCCUGGGAAACUGGGGCUAUUACCGGAUAGGAGCGUCCACCGCAUGGUGGGUGUUGUAAAGAUUUAUCGGUUUUGGAUGGACUCGCGGCCUAUCAGCUUGUUGGUGAGGUAAUGGCUCACCAAGGCGACGACGGGUAGCCGGCCUGAGAGGGUGACCGGCCACACUGGGACUGAGACACGGCCCAGACUCCUACGGGAGGCAGCAGUGGGGAAUAUUGCACAAUGGGCGCAAGCCUGAUGCAGCGACGCCGCGUGAGGGAUGACGGCCUUCGGGUUGUAAACCUCUUUCAGUAGGGAAGAAGCGAAAGUGACGGUACCUGCAGAAGAAGCACCGGCUAACUACGUG
rnacentral:rRNA from 1 species